rnacentral:lncRNA from 1 species
UACGCUCAGACUCCGUGCUUGCGAGAGGGGAAGUAUUGCCUCUUAGAGGCGCCCAGGGGGUGGUAUGUAAUUGUCCCAGGUCACUGGGUGGGGGCUCCAGCCGGUUUUGCAUUGCGUUAUUGAAACGGAACCCCUAGAUACAGAACCCGGCCCUUGUUGCUGCCAACUUAGAUGGGCAGAAGGGUUACACAAGGAUGAGGCUGAGAUCAUCCCUGGGAAUGUGGGCACCGGCUCUAUGAACGUCUCUGUCCUCAGCAUUCCCCAGGCCGGUCCCAACAACAUCGGGGAAUUCACCUGUGGGUACGAGGAGAAUGUGAGCGGGAGGUGGAUCCCGUCCCCCAGGAGCUGGGCUGUGAACGUCACUGUGAAUGUCACCAGGACUGCCUCUUACAGUACCCGUGAUAUUCUGCUGACAACAGGUGGCCUCUUGCUUCUGGUUGGAGCCAUUGCUGCUCUCAUCUGUUACUGCAGGAGGAAGAAAAGAGUUCCAAAGCCUCAGAAAAACAUUGAGGGAUCUGAGCCCAGAGGAUGUGCCAGAAACCUGCAUCCUGAUCAUGAUCAUCAGGGAUCUAAAGCCAGGGUUCCUGGUGCAGAGCAGAUGGAACAGGGCUCUGAAGUCACCUACGCGCUCAUGGUAUUCCCGGCCUUGGAGGCCCAGGCAACCCAGUCGAAAAACAAAGCCAAGCCUGCUGAAGAUGAGCAUGUGCUGUAUAGCGAGGUGGUGACAACGUGCACCCGAAAGGCAGCUAAAUAAGGAGGGGAAACCCUCUCUACGUCUCUCUGCAUCUUCUCCUCCUCCAGGCAUCCGUAUCCUUAACCCUUUAUAUCUCAAGAUCCCUUUUAUGCCACUUGGCAAAGCGCACACCCAACACACUUGUCAGACUAUUUAGCCAACCAGCAGCUUGUCGGGUAUCAUAGAAAAACUUGUGACCCACUGCCCGGGAAUAUCACUGUAUGAUGUACGUACGGGUUGUGUAGAAAGAGUUACAUAUGUAUGCUGGAAAUAUGUUGUGGGUGUGGUUGCUAAACAAGCGACAAAGAGUCCUGUGGCACCUUAUAGACUAACAGAUGUAUUGGAGCAUAAGCUACCACUCUGAUACUUGAUAAACAAGGUGGCCGGAGACAAAGGAAUGUGGACUUAUCAGUCUCCAUGCAUCAAGCAAACUGGCAGAUAAGAAAAACAGGAUGGCUUGUGUGAUGCUGGGAAGUCUGAUCUCCGCUCUUGCCAGGCUGCAGGCAUUAGCUAAGAACUGACAACCUCAUAGCUGGAGAUCAGAGCAGGUCACCUGUAUAUUCUUUUUUCUCUAAAUAG